rnacentral:rRNA from 1 species
CCAGACUCCUACGGGAGGCAGCAGUGGGGGAUAUUGCACAAUGGGGAAAACCCUGAUGCAGCAACGCCGCGUGAGUGAAGAAGUAUUUCGGUAUGUAAAGCUCUAUCAGCAGGGAAGAAAAUGACAGUACCUGACUAAGAAGCCCCGGCUAACUACGUGCCAGCAGCCGCGGUAAUACGUAGGGGGCAAGCGUUAUCCGGAUUUACUGGGUGUAAAGGGAGCGUAGACGGCUGUGCAAGUCAGAAGUGAAAGCCCGGGGCUCAACCGCGGGACUGCUCUUGGAACUGCGCGGCUGGAGUGCAGGAGGGGCAGGCGGAAUUCCUGGUGUAGCGGUGAAAUGCGUAGAUAUCAGGAGGAACACCGGUGGCGAAGGCGGCCUGCUGGACUGCGACUGACGUUGAGGCCCGAAGGCGUGGGGAGCAAACAGGAUUAGAUACCCGCGUA